rnacentral:rRNA from 1 species
CCAGCAGCUGCGGUAAUUCCAGCUCCAAUAGCGUAUAUUUAAGUUGUGGCAGUUAUAAAGCUCGUAGUCGAACUUUGGGUUGGGCCGGCCGGUCCGCCUCUGGUGUGCACCGGUCGUCUCUUAUCUUCUGCCGGCGAUGCGCUCCUGGCCUUAGUUGGUCGGGUCGUGCCUCCGGCGCUGUUACUUUGAAGAAAUUAGAGUGCUCAAAGCAAGCCCACGCUCUGUAUACAUUAGCAUGGGAUAACAUUAUACGAUUUCGGUCCUAUACGCAGCCUUGGGGAUCGGAGUAAUGAUUAGCAGGGACAGUCGGGGGCCAUUCGUAUUUCCU